CCGUAAUUUUCAGUUUUAGUCUUGGCAAACGUCAUUUUUCUCUUUGGCUAACAGCAAUUGGAAGGAGUCCAGAAGAGAAUAUCAGCCCAUUAAAUGUGAAAUGUUCUAGACACUUUGCGAAAUCUGAUUUUCUAAGGAAAAAGAAAAGGAUCUUACUGAAAAGGGACGCAAUUCCAAAACUAUUCCUACAAAAAAAACGUUACUUGCAGGUCACAGUUGGAUACAGUUUCAUCAAGACCCGUUUUGAGAGACCUAAAUCCAUCAAAUAUUGAUUCAAAAAUGGGCGAAGGCAAUGUUUCAUCCAGUAAUUCAGCUUCAUCAAAAUCUGUGACAAUGAGUUCUGCUGAUAGUGCUGGACUGAAGGGAGUUCAAAAGAGAAACAGAAAUCUGGUCAAGAUAUUCCAUACAUAUGCGUCAGUAUUUUCAUAAAUAUAUGAAUUCGGUAUUAUAUAAUAUUGAAUUGAGAUAUUUUUUCAAAACGCCUCAUU